CAGGAACGCUGGCGGCGUGCCUAACACAUGCAAGUCGAACGGAGAUUUUAGCAAUAAAAUCUUAGUGGCGAACGGGUGAGUAACGCGUAGACAACCUGCCUUCUAGAUGGGGACAACACUGCGAAAGUGGUGCUAAUACCGAAUGUUGUAAUUGGAAUGCAUGUUCUGAUUACUAAAGGUGGCUUCUAUUUAUAAGCUAUCGCUAGAAGAUGGGUCUGCGUCUGAUUAGCUAGUUGGUGAGGUAAUGGCUCACCAAGGCGACGAUCAGUAGCCGGUCUGAGAGGAUGAACGGCCACACUGGGACUGAGACACGGCCCAGACUCCUACGGGAGGCAGCAGUGGGGAAUCUUCCGCAAUGGACGAAAGUCUGACGGAGCAACGCCGCGUGAGUGAAGAAGGUUUUCGGAUCGUAAAACUCUGUUUUCAGGGACGAAUGUGCUGAUUGUAAAUAAUGGUUGGUAAUGACGGUACCUGACAAGAAAGCCACGGCUAACUACGUGCCAGCCGCCGCCGUAAUAC
rnacentral:rRNA from 1 species